rfam:Gossypium raimondii Chr11_contig_445, whole genome shotgun sequence.
UGUUAAAAGUUUCAUCCAUUUUUAUUGUUAAAAGCCGGUGUCACUGACGAAAUAAUCAGAUAGUUACACGUGAGGUGUCAUGUGCACCUCUUUCUAACAUACAAUGACCAAUUUUUAACCGUAGAAAUGACAGGAAUUUUUAACA